ACUACUGUCCUCCGCUCUUCCUCGACCACGGGCCUGCAGAGAGUGAAAAACGGCACUUCUUACAUCUUCAUAUACUUCAGCAUGAGAAUACAACCUCAAAAACCAGAAUGACAUCAGCAGUGUUCAGUUUGUACAACUACCAGAACAGCGCAGAAGCUGAAGAAGCACUGUUGAUAUUACCUGGAGAAUGUGUUCCUCUGCCAUCUGCUGGUUCAUGGCUCCUCCCACACCAGUACGCUAAUUGCUGGGAAUGGAGCAAACAACCAAGACCAGUGACUCCUGAAUGUUUUGCAGAUGGAUGGACGUCACGUGACUGUACCUGACGGAUCAUCAUCCUCUACGUACACAGACCGCCGCUGCUGUCCACACUGCUGUCCAGAUCCUCCGACAGAAGCGAGCUGUUUGCUGAGAGAACGGGAGGGAGAACCGGCAUAGUCUCCGAACAUGACUGUUCACCCUCCUCAACAGUCUUGACUGACACGGCCUCUGAAACACACACAGGUCUGGAAGAGCCGUGGGACGUCCUGGACUUUCCCUGCAGUAGACGAGAGGGUCAGUGCAGUCCUGGAUCAGACGGCGGUCUGUGGAGCUCCAGAGCUGCUGUGGUGUGCUGGACUGGAAGCAGGGAUCUGGACUGCUGUCGUGUCAGAGGAAGAGUCUGGCUGUUUGUGAAGAGGACCGGCUGCGAGGCUGCUGUAGGCCGGAGGUCCCAAACACGUCUGUCUCUGCAGCAGCUGGAGGAUUCUCUGAAUGUCUGACGUCAUCUGAGACUCUAACCUGCAGGUGGACUGCAUCCCGGUGUGGAGGUGUAGCUCUGUACUGAUGGAUACUCUAUCAUUCCUGCUCCCAGAAGCCUUUGCUGUUCCUCUCUGGAGGUGUGACAGUCCUCUGAGCUUCUCUUAGAGCUGAGACGAGACUCUCGCCGCUCCUUCCUGCACUCGCUGUCUGUUUCUUUCAGGCUUCCUCCUACGGGACGAUCAGAGGUUAAAGGUCAGCUCCAGAUUGGUGAGGAAAUAGUCUGCAAACUCUGGAUACAUGUCCAGAACCUCCAGGAGCUCCUCUCUCUGGAUGGUGUGCAGGUCGCAGUAGCUGAGCGCUCGCACGUCUGCGUUCGACUUCCCAGGCUUCGCGUACAGAUGGAUCAUCUCUCCAAAUAUGUCAUUCUUACCUGGAGAACACAUUCAGACACAUUCAGAAGCCGCAUCAAGCUGUGCUCCUCAGAGAUUGCUCUGUAUUGCAUAUGAUAGCAUGCGUCUGCAUACGUCUGCACCGGAUUUCAGAUGGUGAUUGUGUCUCUAAGCUUGUCUGUGCAAGUGAGCUCAUGCUUACCCAGAAUGGCCACCACUAUGUCGUCCUUGAGGAUCUCGAUGGAUCCUCCAGACAGGAAGUAGAGCGCGGUGAGGAUGUCCCCGCAGUGCAUGAGUGUAUCUCCAGGAGGAGCAUGGGUGGUUUUGAAGCGCAUGGCGAGAGCACGCAGACAUCCUUGAGUCGCACCUUGGAAAGCCUUACAUCCCUGAAGGAGACUGUUGUUCAGAUGGAGACAGAUAUCUGCCUGUAAACACUCAGGAAAGCCUUUUAAGACCUGCAGAGAGAUGCCAGAACGAGGUGACACUCGAGGGCGACGAGGUCGUUCCAUUUCACAUGAGGCAGACAUGGAGAGAGAAAGAUGUGGACACUAUGAAAUUUCUCUUGCAUUCAACAGACAAAUAACAGCAUGUGGGUUUACAACAAUAUUAAAGUCCACGAGUGUUGGAAAUACUCCUCCAGCCUCUGUCUGAGCGGGUUUGGGAUCUGGUGGAAACGGAUGAACUCUUUCACGCGGAGCAUCUGCAUGUGGUACCGCGCCGUUCCCGAAUACAGCCGCUGGAUGAUGGCAGAAACGUUCCCAAAAAUGCUGGCGUACAUCAAAGCUGGAGAGGACAGGACAGGGUCACACAGAUGAAAGCUAAUGCCAGACUUACAUCCAAUGAGCAUGACGCAGAUGGAGAAGAUCUUCUCUGAGUUGGUGUUCGGAGACACGUUUCCAAAGCCCACGCUGGUCAGCGAGCUGAACGUGAAGUACAGCGCGGUCACGUAUUUAUCCUUUAUGGACGGCCCUGAGCAGUGCUCACUAGAGUUGCAUCUCUUGCCGAGGGACACCUCGAGAUUGUCGAGCCAGCCGAUCUUAUGCUCCAGGUACGGUUUCUCAACGUUUCCAAUGGCGUACCAGAUGCAGGCCAGCCAAUGGGCGAUCAGAGCAAAUAUACACAUGAGGAGCAUGAGAACCGCUGCGCCGUAUUCAGAGUAACGGUCCAGCUUCCUGGCAACACGAACCAGUCGGAGGAGCCGCGCUGUCUUCAGCAGGCCAAUCAGAGUGGUCGUCUUGGGAAAGAGAGAAGGUUGUAAAUGGCUCUGACAGAGUAGCUGUCACUGGAACAGACCACAAAGCGGUGAAACCAUAUGCUCCAAUGUGACAAGAGCUCAUGAUAGGCCAUUGACGGACAUGCCCACAUAAACAAGCGAGGAAAGGAGCCAGCCGGCGUGCCAGUGAUUCAGCCUGUAAACUGUUCAAACAUCAGUUUUCUCUUUCCUCUCUCUCUCAUCAUAAUCAUUGACUCCGUUUUGGUAAGCCGUUAAUCCAAAUAAAUGGAUUCAGAAAUUAAGGCCAUUCAAAAAAAAAGAAAAAAAGAAAAGAAAAGAAAGAGGCAAAAACAACAUAGCCUACACUAUAUUCUGAUACUGUAAUUCCCUUUCUGUCCUCUGCAAAGUGCUAGCUAUGAUCUGUAUAAUGGACACGGUACAAACAAAUAAUAAAUUGCUAAAUAAAUAGGUCUCAAAUAAAUAGGUGUUAUGCAGACCCACGUGUGUUAAAGGAAUUGUUCAUUCAAAAUGAAAAGUUGCUG